rnacentral:lncRNA from 1 species
CAGAAGUUGAAAAGGCAAAAGGCAAGCGUUCUUCUGGGUGGUCUGAGCGUGGUCCUAGGAAGGACGCUGUUUGUGAAGGUAAAAUCUCUAAUUGGGGAGAGAAGGGCCAGCUGGUGAGCUGUUGAGAUCAGGUGAAGACCUGAAUCGCAGAAGCACAGCACGGUCAGAGCCCGCUGCGCCGGCAGCAAGGCCAGAAGGUGCACGAAGAAGGUGAGGAUGCCUCUCUGUUUAUCGACGGAGUCUCACUUAGUCGCCAGGCUGGAAUGCAGUGGCGUGAUCUCGGCUCACUGCAACCUCCGCCUCCCGGGUUCAAGCGAUUCUCCUGCCUCAGCCUCCCAAGCAGCUGGGACUACAGGUGCCCACCACCAUGCCCAGCUAGUUUUUGUAUUUUUAGUAGAGAUGGGGUUUCACCAUGUUAGCCAGGCUGGUCUCGAUCUCUUGACCUUGUGAUCCACUCGCCUGGGCCUCCCAAAGUGCUGGGAUUACAGGCAUGAGCCACCGUGCCCGGCCCCCAGUCUUGGGUGUGUCUUUAUCAGCAGCAUGAAAAUGGAUGAAUACACCUAUACAGCAAACCUAUACAAGUACCCCUGCACUGAAAAU